rnacentral:lncRNA from 1 species
AUCGGAGCAUUUUCGAGAACACAAGUAAGCUGUCAUAAAUUGAUAAGUAAGAUGAGUCAUCGAUCAUAAUCAGACUAAUCACAUACAAAAGAUAGCAAGAUGAGCAUCCAUCACAUGCAUAGAUAAUUUUUGAAAAGCCUACCCUUCUCCAAAAGAUCACUGGAAACUAAUAAAGGAGAAGCCAACUUCAUCUUACGAGGUUAUGCGUCAACUAA